rnacentral:rRNA from 1 species
GACGAACGCUGGCGGCGUGCCUAAUACAUGCAAGUAGAACGCUGAAGGAGGAGCUUGCUUCUCCGGAUGAUUUGCGAACGGGUGAGUAACGCGUAGGUAACCUGCCUGGUAGCGGGGGAUAACUAUUGGAAACGAUAGCUAAUACCGCAUAAGAGUAGAUGUUGCAUGACAUUUGCUUAAAAGGUGCAAUUGCAUCACUACCAGAUGGACCUGCGUUGUAUUAGCUAGUUGGUGGGGUAACGGCUCACCAAGGCGACGAUACAUAGCCGACCUGAGAGGGUGAUCGGCCACACUGGGACUGAGACACGGCCCAGACUCCUACGGGAGGCAGCAGUAGGGAAUCUUCGGCAAUGGACGGAAGUCUGACCGAGCAACGCCGCGUGAGUGAAGAAGGUUUUCGGAUCGUAAAGCUCUGUUGUAAGAGAAGAACGAGUGUGAGAGUGGAAAGUUCACACUGUGACGGUAUCUUACCAGAAAGGGACGGCUAACUACGUG